AUCACAGGGACAUCCUAGUGUCCACUCAUCCCCAGCCAGCUUACCGUGGUCAGCAGGAGUCCUUCCCCCAGCUUCUCCCCUCCCCACCUCAGCAGAGAAACGGAGACAAGGACAUUGGAUGCAGUAGGGGUCCACGUAAGUGCUAACAUAUCUCCAGGAUCCUGGGUGGUGCUAAACUAUCUCCGUGUUUCUCAUAGUUCUAUUAGUGGGUUGUUUUUUAUAAGUCUCAUCACAAACAACACAGUGUCACCGGGGGAGGGACCCAGCCCCCUUGACCUGCCCCUUUCCGGGUGUCCUUUAUCACUUUGGUGGGACUCUUUGGUCUGUAAAAAUGAUCUGUCUUGGCAUGCUUCUAGACUUUAAAAUUUGGGUUGUUUUGUUUCAUAUCUUAUGUUUACAGGCAUCUUGUAUUUCCCUAAAGACUAAAUAAAGUUUUUGACCUUUUUUAAAAAAAAAAAAAAAA
rnacentral:lncRNA from 1 species